AAACCCUAUACUUUUUCAUUUCCCUCUCUUCUUUUAAUCCUCCCGCCCUUGGCUUGUUUUUUAUUUACUGUUCUUAUUUCUCUUAUUUUCGUCCAUCAAAAUUAUUUCAGAAUCUCGUUAGCCCAUAUCUACAGACUACAACCAAAGGGGAAGAAAAGGAUGAACACAAACAUUAUAACAUUGGCAAAUCUCGAAUAACCGGUUGUAGAUCAGAACUCUUUGCCUUACCACCUACAUCUUCGUCACUGCCGGCUACCUCUAUGGUACUUUCACAAUCAAUAUUUUUUUGUCAUUUGCUAUUCACAUUCUUAUAAGAUUUGGUAAUUGUUGAUUAUUUUUCUUUAUUCCAUUUUGGCAUGAAUAAAACUUGGGAUUAUGAGGCUAUCAAUGCUAGCAGAAGAUUUAUUUUGGCUCAUGGGUUAGUUCAUGUACGAGUGUUAGAAUACUGCAGGUAUAUUAUGGAUUUUUUUCCCCAUCGGAGAAGGUAGGUAGCUAAGUACAGUAAAUAAUUGUUUAUAAUUUGGUUUUGGUUUUUUUAGUUUGGCAUUUGUUUGAUGCUCAUUUUGUAAUAAGAGGAGUAUGAGUUUAUUUCUUAUUCGUUUGUUUUUACUGAAUUGCUAGUGAUCUAGUUUGAUUUGAAUUCAUUUGUUUAGACAAUAUUACUUUUGGUGUUUGCUCCUAUAGAACUAACUUAAGAAGCCUAUGAAGUGUUUGAUAAAAUGUCAUAUAGAAAUAUUGUCGCUUGGACAAUAAUGACUUAUAUAUGGUAUUUUACAAGUAGUAUUUUCAAUUGUUAAAAGAUGAUAAAUCAAUUUUAGACAUUCGUAGGUUGAAAAUCUUUAAUGUUUUUCAUCAUGGGUUAAAUUAGAGUCGUUUCAAAUGUUAAACUUCGAAGAACAAUAGAAGUAUUUCUGAGCUAAUGAGGCUUCUAAGUUGUGAUGUUACUCGUUAUCAAUGUUUUAUUUGAAAAUGAAGAUAUUAUGUGGAGGAUAUUUAAACUAGUUUAAAGAUUCUAAAAUAACAUGUUUAGUAAAAAAAUGAAGAAUAUUGGAUAUGUAUUCUCUGUUCUUCUAGGGCCAAUGUAUUAUCUAGUUUUGACUUAAAUUACAUAAAUUUAUUGCUCCGGCAUUUUUUGAUUAGAAAUAUCUAAUUCAAGUUUAUUAGAAUAAGAAAUGGAGUAUUGAUGGUUCUUAAAAUUAGACGAGCUGGGGAGGUGAUCUACAGAUGAAAAGUAGAACUGCAUCUAAUGUAUAUGGCAAGAAUUAAAUGAACUUUUAAUAUUUGUGAUCUCCAUAAGUAGCUAAGCUUAUUUUUCACCAUUAAAGACAAAUGUGAAUUCUAUUGUAUUAAUAAGAUGUUCAAACAUUCAUCUUUUUCAUUUAUACUUGUAGUUGGAUCGAGCAUGGUUAAGUAGGUGAAAAUAUUGCUUUCACAACUAGCAGUAAGUAUUCUGCGUUGCAACUCUACAAGCAAACUUGCAAGAACAAAAGAUUUACAGCCAUUUUUAGUAGAAAUUCACUGAACUUGAGGAGAAAAAAAACUUAUUACUGAGGAGAAGGGUACAUUUGAACUGGAAAGGUUUCAAAUGGUUUUAUAUGUUUGUCUAGUAUUUUCCAAAAACCAAAUCCAAGUUUACUUGUCUGAAUGUGUGUUUUACUUACUAACAGGAAGUUAGGAACUAGCAUGUGAGCAAAGAGCUAGAAAUGAGAAUUUGACUAAAGAAUCAAGAAUUAAAAGGAACAAUCGACCAAGGACUCAUAUUCUAUGAUUUCUCUUUGCAACAACUGUCUAUCAUGUCUGGGCAGAGAGAAAUGCAAGAAGAUUUCAACAAAGGAAGCAAGAGGCUAGACAGAGAGUGAAGGAAAUUGUAAUACAGUUACAUAUUAAAGGACAGAGCAAUUGCAAAAUGGAAGAGUAUACUAGAUAGUUCAAUUUAAAUCUACAAUCCACAAAUUACAUGGCUGCAGAACUAGUAUCCAAUGGAUGAAACUUGCUGGAGUCAACAAGAACUGACUUUCUACAGUCAAUGAAGAUGCUUUGUUCUAACUCAUCUAAUUAUGAUAUCCUUGGACGCAGAAAUUGACACAGAAAGAACUAGAUUUGUCAGGAGGAGAAAAAACUAUUGUUGGAUUCAAAUGGUGUAUUUUUUUAUUUUUUUUUGCUGAAACUCUAAAGUAUGAACUUGUAAUUAUCUCUGUAUAUUAUGAAUUUAGUGAAACACCUUAUUCUUCCUAGAAUAAAUAUUUGCAUAUUUUAUUA